GCCAGCGCCGCCCCCUCCCGGGGGUGCUGGUGCGAGAAGACCCCCGCGGGGCAAGCGGGCGGCGAGACGCGCCGGCCCCAGGUUAAAAAAUUACCAGAGGGGAAUCCUUUGUGAGAGGAGGAUAGAGCAAGACAAGUACCUGCGGUGUGUAAGUGUUUUCUGCCAGAGGACGUGGGGUUCCUGAUGUGGAGCUUCAGAAGAGUGAUGUCUGGGGAUGAGGUGACAGAGAUGACCGCACACCAUCGUCUCCAAAUGACUACAGUUUCUGUGAACUGUAAUCAUUGGAGUAUGAUCAUUAUGGAGUUCAUCUGAGCUUCUUGCACAAAACUCUAUUGCGGAUUACCAGUGAACUGAAAGCAUUUGCAGUUAAAUUUUUCAGCUGAAUGAGUAAUCAGUUCCUGGUGAAGGUGAAAGUUCAUUCAGAAGUAAACCCUUUAGACUCCAACAGAAGGCUGUUACCUGCCUGAGUGCUGGAGCAUCUGUACUACCUCUCCAAGGAGACUGACCAUUCCAAUAUUGUGGGAACUGAGGGUUUCUUGGGACUCAAGGCCUUCAGUGCUGAAAUGGAGUUAAUCUUAGAAAAGACAAAUUGAAGACUGUCUCUCACACUGCUCAUGUUCAUAGAAUAUGCGCUUCUGGAGAGUUCAUGGCUAGAAACAUAUGUCCUUGCUUGCCAUUGAACAAGUAUGUUUCUCUGUGGUGGAACAGGAGAGCCGGGAGACUAAGGUUCAUAAACAUUGCUGCUUUUUCCUGACUGUCAUGUGCCACGUCCAGUUCUUCGUCAUGCGCGAGAACCUGAAAACCUGUCCCAGACCCCAUCAGCCAUGGUAACAGAUUCACAGUGCUCUGUGUGACACACAACAGGUUGGUUCUGUUUAAAGUCGCAUGGAAUGUAAACUACGCGGAGUACCUAAUGGAAUAAAUGACUGAUGUCACAACUAUUUAAUUCUUCACUGCCAAAUCUGCAACAAAAGAUUAAUGAAUGGCCGAAGAACUUGCAGACCCCGAGUUCAGCAUGACUAAGGAGCUGACCUAUCUGGAGAUACUGAGCAAGUCGAUCUUUUCCUUCUCAUGUAAUAGAGGGCAGAUACUCUGAUGCCACGGUGCAUUGGUGAUGGCGCUACCUUAGCUUCCUGGCCAAGGAAGCCCCUGGAGCUUCUCUGGUACUUCAAUUUUCCUAAUCAACAGAGUAAAAAAGUCAACUCCCAAAAGAGUUUGGGAAAUUUCCACUGGAGUCUAAUGAAAUACUCUAUAAACUGAGAUGAUUCUUUGGAAGGAGGAUAUUCUAUCACAUAGAAAGGAACGUCUAUGACAGAGUGAUUGUGAAUUUCGGCUACAAGUUAUCAGAAUUCAGUGUACAGUGUCCAUGUUUCCUCCUAAACAAGAGGGU